UCAGGACGAACGCUGGCGGCGUGCCUAACACAUGCAAGUCGAGCGAGGAGAUUCCUCGGGAUGAUCCUAGCGGCGGACGGGUGAGUAACACGUGGGCAACCUGCCUCAUAGAGAGGAAUAGCCUUCCGAAAGGGAGAUUAAUACCUCAUAACAUUGCAGUUUCGCAUGGAACAGCAAUUAAAGGAGCAAUCCGCUAUGAGAUGGGCCCGCGGCGCAUUAGCUAGUUGGUGAGGUAACGGCUCACCAAGGCGACGAUGCGUAGCCGACCUGAGAGGGUGAUCGGCCACAUUGGGACUGAGACACGGCCCAGACUCCUACGGGAGGCAGCAGUGGGGAAUAUUGCACAAUGGGGGAAACCCUGAUGCAGCAACGCCGCGUGAGUGAUGACGGCCUUCGGGUUGUAAAGCUCUGUCUUCAGGGACGAUAAUGACGGUACCUGAGGAGGAAGCCACGGCUAACUACGUGCCAGCAGCAGC
rnacentral:rRNA from 1 species